AGUGAACGCUGGCGGUAGGCCUAACACAUGCAAGUCGAACGGCAGCACAGUAAGAGCUUGCUCUUACGGGUGGCGAGUGGCGGACGGGUGAGGAAUACAUCGGAAUCUACUUUUUCGUGGGGGAUAACGUAGGGAAACUUACGCUAAUACCGCAUACGACCUACGGGUGAAAGCAGGGGAUCUUCGGACCUUGCGCGAUUGAAUGAGCCGAUGUCGGAUUAGCUAGUUGGCGGGGUAAAGGCCCACCAAGGCGACGAUCCGUAGCUGGUCUGAGAGGAUGAUCAGCCACACUGGAACUGAGACACGGUCCAGACUCCUACGGGAGGCAGCAGUGGGGAAUCUUGGACAAUGGGCGCAAGCCUGAUCCAGCCAUACCGCGUGGGUGAAGAAGGCCUUCGGGUUGUAAAGCCCUUUUGUUGGGAAAGAAAAGCAGCAGGUUAAUACCCCGCUGUUCUGACGGUACCCAAAGAAUAAGCACCGGCUAACUUCGUG
rnacentral:rRNA from 1 species